UACGUAGGGUCCGAGCGUUGUCCGGAAUUACUGGGCGUAAAGAGCUCGUAGGUGGUUUGUCGCGUUGUUCGUGAAAACUCACAGCUUAACUGUGGGCGUGCGGGCGAUACGGGGCAGACUAGAGUACUGCAGGGGAGACUGGAAUUCCUGGUGUAGCGGUGGAAUGCGCAGAUAUCAGGAGGAACACCGGUGGCGAAGGCGGGUCUCUGGGCAGUAACUGACGCUGAGGAGCGAAAGCGUGGGGAGCGAACAGG
rnacentral:rRNA from 1 species